rnacentral:rRNA from 1 species
AACGAACGCUGGCGGCAUGCUUAACACAUGCAAGUUGAACGCAGGAUAGGACUUCGGUUCUAUUGCUGAGUAGUAAACGGGUGAGUAACGCGUGGGAAUCUACCUUUUUGUGGGGGAUAACUGAGGGAAACUUCAGCUAAUACCGCGUAAGCUCUACGGAGGAAAGGCUUCGGCCGCAAGAAGAGGAGCCCGCGUCAGAUUAGGUAGUUGGUAGGGUAAAAGCCUACCAAGCCAAUGAUCUGUAGCUGGUCUGAGAGGAUGAUCAGCCACACUGGGACUGAGACACGGCCCAGACUCCUACGGGAGGCAGCAGUGGGGAAUAUUGGACAAUGGGGGAAACCCUGAUCCAGCAAUGCCGCGUGAAUGAAGAAGGCCUUAGGGUUGUAAAGUUCUUUCACCUGUGAAGAUUAUGACGGUAGCAGGAGAAGAAGCCCCGGCUAACUCCGUGCCAGCCGCCGCCGUAA